rnacentral:rRNA from 1 species
CACGUAGGGCGCGAGCGUUGUCCGGAAUUAUUGGGCGUAAAGAGCUCGUAGGCGGCCUGUUGCGUCCGCUGUGAAAGCCCGGGGCUUAACCCCGGGUCUGCAGUGGAUACGGGCAGGCUAGAGGUAGGUAGGGGAGACUGGAAUUCCUGGUGUAGCGGUGAAAUGCGCAGAUAUCAGGAGGAACACCGAUGGCGAAGGCAGGUCUCUGGGCCACUACUGACGCUGAGAAGCGAAAGCAUGGGGAGCGAACAGG